rnacentral:lncRNA from 1 species
GUGUGGGCCUUUCUUCCGUAUUUCCUGAUAACCCCCUGUAGAAAUAGACGAACACCAAAACUUGUGGAAUUCUGUCAGAUAAAAUCCUAAGUCUAGGUGUUGGUUCAAUUUCGAUCCUUUUCUAUGAUCAGUUGAUUGUUAAUUGUGAGCAUUAAGGACCGUCAACAAGCUCCCCCAAGCUUAACCUUUGCUCGUCCCUGAGCAAAGAUGAACUCAAGAGUUUCUGCAGUGGUUUCAUAACUUAAAGAUACACAUGCGUUUAAACAAGAUCUCAUCUCUGGUUAGAGUAAACUGUUAAGAUUUAAACUUACUCAUUUUACCUUCCACCAUGGGGCUUGCAACCGUCACUUGUGUCUUGAGCAGUUAAAAGAUAGAACGGUCUAGUCAAGCGCCAUGUCUCUUGUUCUUCGAUUAACUAUAGCUCUGGAGUUUUUGCAGAUUUUCAAAUAAAACUCAGAGAUUCCUUGUAUGACUCUCUCUAGUGUCUAUUUUGUGGUAUUUCAGGAUCCUUACCAAGGCAGUGAUGGUAUAUGCCUUCUCUCAAAGUAUGUGGUAUUUGUGGUAUAAGACAUAGUGGCAUUGCCUUUUCUCUCACCCUACUCUAAUAAGGUUUUGAUAUCUGGAGCUCAUAGGUGGGAGAUAGCUAAUACAUACUUACAAGACAUUUAUUGCAUAGUCAAACCAUGGAUCCAGAAGAACAAGUCAAUAAGUCAAAUCAAGAUGUGCAUGUGUGGCGAAUGAAUGAUGCAUGGUAAUGAUGGUGAUAACAAUGGUGAAAGUCUAAUUCUACUUAUGCUCUUUUGAGGGGAUACAUACCUUUCUUGCUCUUUUGAAACUUUUUGAGGAGAAUGAGAUGCUCUAUAUUUUCUUUUUUCUUUUCUCUCAGGUGGGUAUCUUGUACCCCUAAUUCUACUGUCGGACAUUUGUCCAUUUUUACCUCUCGUCUCACUUUUUUUUCUUUUCUUUCGAGGUUCCGGGCACUUGCCCCUUUUUAUUUCCUCGUAUUUAUUUUUUUUCCCUCUUUUUUUUUAUUAGAGCACUCAUCUCAUGAGAUAAUAUAGCAAGUGGUAGUAACAAGAUAACUUGAGCAUUUAUUUCACAGGGAAAAACAUAAAUAGGAGAAUAUUUUUGGCUAUUCUCUCCCGGAUUAGGAGUAGAAUAUUUUUGGGUGGUUCUGGAGAUGGAAAUGGAUGGAUAUAUGUGGAUGGUACUUCUGGAGUAGAAGUAGCACGUGUGAGUGAACGUGCAAGUGAAUCUUGAUUUAACCACAUGACAAACUCCUAAGGGUCUACACAGCUUGACCACACUCAAUGCUCAUAAGCAGUAAAAAGUAAAUGUGUGGUUCAUAGUCUAACAAGCAUGUAUAUAUGGCUGUGGUAGGAAUUUAAACUCUCAUCAUACAGGAACUCAUCAUGCAACAUUUUAAAGAUUUUCAAAGAUAAAAUUCUCUAGAAUUCUAGCAUCUCUAGGAACAGAUAAACAGCAGCUCAACCUUCCCAUAUCAUAUCCGUUAACGACUUAGACUUCAGAUCAAGUACUCUCCCCACAAGUUCAGGUUUAGAGCAAAUCUUAAUUAAUACCAGUCAUGCCUAAACUAGAGAGAGAUUUCAAUUUUGAGAACUAGCCAUGGCAGAGCAACUAUUCAUCAUUUCCAUGUGAGAGCUUAUCAUGAGGAUUCAUGGCAAACUUUAUUUAUUUAUUUAUUUAGCAAACUAAGCAAAGAUAUAUAUAAGCACAAAAUCUUUAUUUGGGUUUUUAUGAUUAUGCAUCUUUUUAUUAUUAGAGUAGAGUAUAAACGUGAGUAGAAUACUUAGCUGGAUAAAUGGGGGUGCUCUCCCCCAAGCUGGAUUUUGACGUAAUUCCUUUUGAUGUAGCUAGCCAGUGGUGGAGGUGUAUUUGAAUGUCGGCAGCACCCUGAUGACGAUUAGGAUGUCCUUCGUCUACUAGUCUUCUUUGAUCCUUGAAUUCUGUGGAGCUCAAAUAAACAACAAAGCUUUGUAGAACUAGUUAAGUGUUAGCAUAUAUAUCUAGCCUUUAUCAUGUUGAGCCUCCUCAAUAAAUGUUACUCAUUAGUAGGAUCAUAAUUUUAUUUUUAUAAUUUUAUUUUUAUAGGACAUGAAUAUACUUAUUUCAUUUUUACGCAACCACAGUGGAUGUACUUAUGGGUUUUAUGCCAUGAUCAUACUCACAUGGGGCUUACUAUUUUUAACAUUUUUAUUUUCUUUUCAAGAUGAUAUGAACCUGCUUAACUAAGCAAACUAUUUUAAAUAGUUGAAAGGAAAAAGAUAACUACCAAGUUUACCUCUUGGCAAGGCGUUCGGUGUUUUUAAGUCCUCCGAAUGGGACUCUCCAUUUUCUCAGUCAUCCUGGGAUUCGCUGGAUGCGUAGUCGGUGGUUCCGGUGGAGCCUCCUCUUCGUGUAUAACAAUCUUCUCUCUACACACCUGACUCGGUGCUACGGUCUCCUUAGGACAGUUCUGUUCAAGUUGUAUGUCUUCAGAUAUUACCACUUCUUCUUCGUAGUCUGCCCAUCCGUCCUUUAUGAUUUUCCUCCUCUGGUUACGGUUGCGUCGUCUUCUUCUUGUCCUGACCUGCUUAGAGUCUUCAACUAUAUAGUUAGAGUCAGUAAAACAGUGGCGUAACUUCUCUGAGGGGAAGUUCAUGUGGACUUCUCCGGUUCCAAUGUAGAUGAUUAUUUUAACAGUGCUGAGGAACUGUCUCCCAAGGAUGAUGGGUGGAUCGUGCUCGUCUUUUCCCAUGUCAAUAACCAUUCAGAAUGUCUGAUCUGCCAUCUGAAGUUGAAUGUAUGUCGGUUUAGGGGCAUGGUUCUGAAUAGGAGCUGAUAGGUGACUAGCGGCCAUUAUGUUGAUGCCUGACCCGGUGUCGCAAAGCGUCUUCUAGAAGUUGUAUCCAUUAAUGGAGCACUGGAUGCUUGGCAUGCCUGGUCGUCCUUUUUGGUCAGGAACGGUGACUUAAAUAGAUGAUCUUGACCUCCUUGAACUGCAGUGACCAUCUUAGCUGACUCGGUCCACACUUGCUUGUUCCUGUUCCUCCUGUUGGUCCUCUUCCUUGGUUCAUGUCGGGAAUGCUCUGAGAUUUGUGUAGUCUUGUUCUUGAAGGAAAACGUCUCCUUCCUCCCCUUGAUGUAGAAACUGAUCUUGGCAGCACUAGCGUAGAUGACAGCUCCUGAGGUGUUCAGGAAUGGCCUCCCUAGGAUGGAUGCCCUCUCAUCAGUACCAGUCUCUAUCACCACGAAGUCUGCUGGGGCGUACAAGGUACCAACUCAGACGAAGAGGUUGUUCAAUAUUCUCUUUGGGAAACUUAGCGUACGAUCUGCAAGCUGCAAACACAUGGUUGUUUCUAGGAAAGGAUGUGUAAAGAAUUUUUCAUAGAGUACCCUGAGCAUAAUGUUGACGCUGGAGCCAAAGUUGCAGAGUGCUUCUAGGAAGUCCACCAUGCCGAUGGAGAUCGGGAUGACGGGACGUCCUGGAUUGUAUCUCUUGACCAGCAGAAGGUCAGUAAUUACUUCCACAACGGGGUUACUCCAGUAGUUACGUCCUCAAGCAUCUCAGGGCAGUGAUUGCCUGAGUGUCCAGUAUCUCCAGUGUGUUUGUGCUCGUAGAUCUAGGUUCUUCACUUGGUGGAGUCUGGGAGUUGUAAAAGUCCGUCAUAUUUUGCUUGAAGUGUACCUGCUCAUAGAGACAAGGCAGAGAUCAAGUGCAUGGGCCCUGUUGGUGGAAAACACCAACAGAACCAAAAGUGUAUUUGUUCUCUCUAACCUUAAGAAUAGUGAGCAAGACAAAGUUGAUGGAUAAUAAGAUCAUGAGUGUAGCAUUUAAAACAUUUGUCAGAUCAGAUCACUCAAUCUAAUGGAAAGAUAAUCUAUCUAUAUUUAUGUUUUUUUAUCUUCCAAAGGUUGAGUGUGCAACAUUAUAGCUCAUAUUAGGAGUAUAGGAUCACCAAAAGUGGAAGGACUAAACAUGUGGAAUCGAUCGGGUUGGUUAAUCUAGAGUUGUAAACCAUACAUGUUUGUCUCUUUUAUUCAUGUGAACGCCAGAACCAAGGAGAAGCUUAUAGAAGUGAUAGUCAAGUACCUUAAGAUGUUACCUUACUUGAAGAGUGAUGGUACAGUAUCACCUUAUGGAAGCUUUCCUUUCUUAGCGGUUGUGCAUCGUUUUUGUGGCACCCUCCAUGGAUCAUCUCUUAUGCCUUCCUUGUGUAAAUUGUUAAACUUCAUGUGUCUCUCUCUUUGUCUCUAAUGUGAGUUUAUCUCAGGACUUCCCAGGUCGAUAUUGAAAGUUUUCCUGCAGGGGUUAGUCCAACAAAAUAUCCAAUAUCUACUAUAGCAUACUAUCGGCUCAAAAAUCAAUCUAGACACCAUGUCUACUUUGAUUUAGGAGGGCAUUUUAACCUAAGCACCAUGCUUAAUUUAAAACCCCUUGGAAGUAAGAUCAUCAUUCCUAACUAAGCACCAAGCUUAAUUAAGAGAUAAAUGAAACUACUCCAAACCUAGACAUAUACUAAAGCAAAUAAAGGUAGCAUGAGAGCAUUUAUAGAGUUCUACUCAAGUGGAGAUGAAGUAGUGUGAUUAGUAUUUAACAAAUUGAGCAUGUCUCAAAGGUAGGGACAACCAACAUAACAACAUGGCAAAGGAUGUUCUUAUGUAAGUACUCCCCCAAGCUUGAAUUUUUCAAAAUUCAAGUUUGGAUGAAUUUAAUUCAAUGUUGUAUGAUAGUUGGUUGGACAUACCUUGUGCUUGGCAUUCAUCCGAUCUUCUUGCUCCAAUCCUGAAAAGGUUAGUGACAAGAAUACCCGAAGGAAUUUUCUACAAUUAUCCUUAUAUGCUCAAUACACAAGGUAAUGUUGCAAAUAAUUAAAAGCUCAUGUUACGAUCUGAUCAGUGCUUGUUUUAGGACACUAAGCUUGUCCUUGGGAAACCCUCAAUUUAUGUCGGCGAAGUGGUUUCCCCUCCAACGCUGACCUAUAUUAAGAUCAACUCAACGAGAUCUGCAAAAUUUAUUAUAGACAUAUGCAUCGACAACCGCCCUUUUAAAGUUUUCAUAAAUAGAAAGGAAGUGGGGGUUGGAGAUCUCGAAUGUGGUGAUGUUGGAGAGACCAAUGGAUUGUGAAGAUGUUGCAUAUGAGCAUGGAGUAAAUGAAGUGGCUAUGAAAUAAAUUCCAUGCUCAUUAAUGCUUAGAGUGAAAUCCAUGUGGUAUGGUGAAAAUGGUAAGGUGAGUGUGGUAAAAAAAAGAAAAGAAAAAGGAUACACGGACGACUUGGUUCGAAACUAGCAUAGCUACUGUUCCCCGGCAACGGCGCUAGAAAGCUUGUUGGGUAUUUUAAACGCAAACAGAAAAAUCCGCAAGCGCACGGAUACCGAUGUAGCUUUCACCCGGGAGUAUUCUAGAGUAUCGAUUUUCCACAGAGAACGUGAGUGCACUAAUUAAGAUCCAAGAUCGCCCAAGGAUAACUAUAUAAUUAUUUUUGGUGGGAAGAGAGGAAGUUUCCUGAGAGUUCUCUAGUUGAUCUAAGAAUCAAAAAUUAGUUCAAGAUUAUCUAUUUCGGGACAUCAGAACACUAACCACAGAAAGAGACGAGAAGGGGGCUAGGAAGGUCUGACUACGGUCCUACAAACACCGAUCCGAACAAGGUGGAAUACGUCGACCGUUAGGGCUGUCACUACCCUAAGGCUACCACAACAAUCCGCAGGAUUGGGUGCAAUUCUAUGUAAUUGCAAGACUAAACACCACGUCUAAUCUAUUAAUUACUACUCUAAUGUUUCAAAGAUUAGAGCACUUGAUGCAAGCAGGAAUCCAAUAAAUAACUUGAAUGUAAAUAAAAGUAAUUAGAGAACUCAGGAAUUAUGAAUUGAAGAACGUGGAGAACGAUGAAGAACGAACCAGUUGCUGCAAAAGUACAAUGUUGAGGAAGAUCCGACAGAUCCGGCUCCUCCUCCUCCGCUCUCCUCUUCUCUCUUCCUAUUUUCUAGAUUACAACUCGCACUAACUAGAACUAGAACUAGAGGAACUAGAACUAGAACUAGAUGAACUAGAACUAGAUCUAGAUGAACUAGAGGUAGAACUAGAAGAACUAGAGGGAUCCUCUCUACUUGGAUGAAGAAUUGAAACCCUAACUUUGAUUCUGUAGAAGAGGUAUGAUCUCCAGGGGCCAGGGGAUCUGGUUUUAUAGUCCCUUCAAGUGAAUCUGGGCCCUCGGAUCAAACCGACAUUGAUCGUGUGGUUUUCCUUGAAGUAUUAGGUCGGUGGAGUGUUGUCCCCGAAUUGGACUCUGUUUGGUCCAGGGGGGAGGGCGGGCGCCCAGUAAGGGAGGGCGGGCGCCCAGUGCCCGGCUCCGUUACGUCUCCCGUUCGCUCCCGUGGCUUCUGGACUCUUCUAGAUGGUAGAUAGUUGUGCGGCACGUUAAUAUCUCUAUGUAAACCCGACGUGUGGGCCUUUCUUCCGUAUUUCCUGAUAACCCCCUGCAGAAAUAGACAAACACCAAAACUUGUGGAAUUCUGUCAGAUAAAACCCUAAGUCUAGGUGUUGGUUGCAUUUCGAUCCUUUUCUAUGAUCAGUUGAUUGUUAAUUGUGAGCAUUAAGGACCGUCAACAAGCUCCCCCAAGCUUAACCUUUGCUCGUCCCUGAGCAAAGAUGAACUCAAGAGUUUCUGCAGUGGUUUCAUAACUUAAAGAUACACAUGCGUUUAAACAAGAUCUCAUCUCUGGUUAGAGUAAACUGUUAUGAUUUAAACUUACUCAUUUAAACUUCCACCAUGGGGCUUGCAACCGUCACUUGUGUCUUGAGCAGUUAAAAGGUAGAACGGUCUAGUCAAGCACCAUGUCUCUUGUUCUUCGAUUAACUAUAGCUCUGGAGUUUUUUUAGAUUUUCAAAUAAAACUCAGAGAUUCCUUGUAUGACUCUCUCUAGUCUCUAUUUUGUGGUAUUUCUAGAUCCUUACCAAGGCAGUGAUGUUAUAUGCCUUCUCUCAAAGUAUGUGGUAUUUGUGGUAUAAGACAUAGUGGCAUUGCCUUUUCUCUCACCCUACUCUAAUAAGGUUUUGAUAUCUGGAGCUCAUAGGUGGGAGACAGCUAAUACAUACUUACAAGACAUUUAUUGCAUAGUCAAACCAUGGAUCCAGAAGAACAAGUCAAUAAGUCAAAUCAAGAUGUGCAUGUGUGGCGAAUGAAUGAUGCAUGGUAAUGAUGGUGAUAACAAUGGUGAAAGUCUAAUUCUACUUAUGCUCUUUUGAGGGGAUACAUACCUUUCUUGCUCUUUUGAAACUUUUUGAGGAGAAUGAGAUGCUCUAUAUUUUCUUUUUUCUUUUCUCUCAGGUGGGUAUCUUGUACCCCUAAUUCUACUGUCGGACACUUGUCCAUUUUUACCUCUCGUCUCACUUUUUUUUCUUUUCUUUCGAGGUUCCGGGCACUUGCCCCUUUUUAUUUCCUUGUAUUUAUUUUUUUCUCUCUCUUUUUUUUUAUUAGAGCACUCAUCUCAUGAGAUAAUAUAGCAAGUGGUAGUAACAAGAUAACUUGAGCAUUUAUUUCACAGGGAAAAACAUAAAUAGGAGAAUAUUUUUGGCUAUUCUCUCCCGGAUUAGGAGUAGAAUAUUUUUGGGUGGUUCUGGAGAUGGAAAUGGAUGGAUAUAUGUGGAUGGUACUUCUGGAGUAGAAGUAGCAUGUGUGAGUGAACGUGCAAGUGAAUCUUGAUUUAACCACAUGACAAGCUCCUAAGGGUCUACACAGCUUGACCACACUCAAUGCUCAUAAGCAGUAAAAAGUAAAUGUGUGGUUCACAGUCUAACAAGCAUGUAUAUAUGGCUGUGGUAGGAAUUUAAACUCUCAUCAUACAAGAACUCAUCAUGCAACAUUUUAAAGAUUUUCAAAGAUAAAAUUCUCUAGAAUUCUAGCAUCUCUAGGAACAGAUAAACAGCAGCUCAACCUUCCCAUAUCAUAUCCGUUAACGACUUAGACUUCAGAUCAAGUACUCUCCCCACAAGUUCAGGUUUAGAGCAAAUCUUAAUUAAUACCAGUCAUGCCUAAACUAGAGAGAGAUUUCAAUUUUGAGAACUAGCCAUGGCAGAGCAACUAUUCAUCAUUUCCAUGUGAGAGCUUAUCAUGAGGGUUCAUAGCAAACUUUAUUUAUUUAUUUAUUUAGCAAACUAAGCAAAGAUAUAUAUAAGCACAAAAUCUUUAUUUGGAUUUUUAUGAUUAUGCAUCUUUUUAUUAUUAGAGUAAAGUAUAAACGUGAGUAGAAUACUUAGCUGGAUAAAUGGGGGUGCUCUCCCCCAAGCUGGAUUUUGACGUCCUUCCUUUUGAUGUAGCUAGCCAGUGGUGGAGGUGUAUUUGAAUGUCGGGGCCUGCAAAGUCCACGGACCGUAUNNNNNNNNNNNNNNNNNNNNNNNNNNNNNNNNNNNNNNNNNNNNNNNNNNNNNNNNNNNNNNNNNNNNNNNNNNNNNNNNNNNNNNNNNNNNNNNNNNNNAAGAGAAAAGGGUGACCGUUUGUUUACAGACGGCAUGCAGCCCGUCCCCACUCUUUCAAUUCCCUCACCUGUAUCGAAAAAUCCGCAAGCGCACGGAUACCGAUGUAGCUUUCACCCGGGAGUAUCUAGAGUAUCGAUUUCCACAGAGAACGUGAGUGUACUAAUUAAGAUCCAAGAUCGCCCAAGGAUAACUAUAUAAUUAUUUUUGGUGGGAAGAGAGGAAGUUCCUGAGAGUUCUCUAGUUGAUCUAAGAAUCAAGAAUUACUUCAAGAUUAUCUAUUUCGGGACAUCAGAACACUAACCACAGAAAGAGAUGAGAAGGGUGCUAGGAAGGUCUGACUACGGUCCUACAAACACCGAUCCGAACGAGGUGGAAUACGUCGACCGUUAGGGCUGUCACUACCCUAAGGCUACCACAACAAUCCGCAGGAUUGGGUGCAAUUCCAGGUAAUUGCAAGACUAAACACCACGUCUAAUCUAUUAAUUACUACUCUAAUGUUUCAAAGAUUAGAGCACUUGAUGCAAGCGGGAAUCCAAUAAAUAACUUGAAUGUAAAUAAAAGUAAUUAGAGAACUCAGGAAUUAUGAAUUGAAGAACGUGGAGAACGAUGAAGAACGAACCAGUUGCUGCAAAAGUACAAUGUUGAGGAAGAUCCGACAGAUCCGGCUCCUCCUCCUCCGCUCUCCUCUUCUCUCUUCCUAUUUUCUAGAUUACAACUAGCACUAACUAGAACUAGAACUAGAGGAACUAGAACUAGAACUAGAUGAACUAGAACUAGAUCUAGAUGAACUAGAGGUAGAACUAGAAGAACUAGAGGGACCCUCUCUACUUGGAUGAAGAAUUGAAACCCUAACUUUGAUUCUGUAGAAGAGGUAUGAUCUCUAGGGGCCAGGGGGUUUGGUUUUAUAGUCCCUUCAAGUGAAUCUGGGCCGUCGGAUCAAACCGACAUUGAUCGUGUGGUUUUCCUUGAAGUAUUAGGUCGGUGGAGUGUUGUCCCCGAAUUGGACUCUGUUUGGUCCAGGGGGGAGGGCGGGCGCCUAGUAAGGGAGGGCGGGCGCCCAGUGCCCGGCUCCGUUACGUCUCCCGUUCGCUCCCGUGGCUUCUGGACUCUUCUAGAUGGUAGAUAAUUGUGCGGCACGUUAAUAUCUCUAUGUAAACCCGACGUGUGGGCCUUUCUUCCGUAUUUCCUGAUAACCCCCUGCAGAAAUAGACAAACACCAAAACUUGUGGAAUUCUGUCAGAUAAAACCCUAAGUCUAGGUGUUGGUUGCAUUUGGAUCCUUUUCUAUGAUUAGUUGAUGGUUAAUUGUCAUCAUUAAGGACCGUCAACAUGGAACAUACGAUAUGCUCAGAAAUCAAUUAGGACGCACCUAAUAUAACUCCUUGAUGAUUAUGCACGGUUUACGCCAAAUCCACCAUAGGCUAAGAAACCAUUUUAGACGCACCCGAUGGUACUCAUAGUUGAUGAGGCUCAAGUGGAGGCUCGAUUUGGUCUGUUCGGAUAUAGUGCUAAUCUUGAUGCAAGAUAGUUGCACAGUUUGCAUGCAACGUACCAUAUGUUAAGAAAUCAAUUUGGACGCACCCAAUGGAACUCUUAGAUGACGUGUGUCAUAUGGAAUCUCGCUUCGGUCUGUUUGGAGACAAUGUUAGUUUCCGUGCAAGAUAGGUGCAUAGUUUGUGCCUAAUGCACCGUAGUCUAAGAAACCAUUUUGACACACCUGUUUGUACUCCUAGAUGAAGAGGCUCAAGUGGAAGCUCGGUUUGGUCUGUUUGGAGAUAGUGCUAAUCUUGAUGCAAGAUAGAUGCACGGUUUGCAUGGAACAUACGAUAUGCUCAGAAAUCAAUUAGGACGCACCUGAUAUAACUCCUAGAUGAUGUGUGUCAUAUGGAAUCUUGCUUCGGUUCGUUUAGAGACAGUGUUAGUUUUGGUAGAAGAUAUGUGCACGGUUUACGCCUAAUACACCAUAGGCUAAGAAACCAUUUUAGACGCACCCGAUGGUACUCGUAAUUGAAGAGGCUCAAGUGGAGGCUCGAUUUGGUCUGUUCAGAUAUAGUGCUAAUCUUGAUGCAAGAUAGUUGCACAGUUUGCAUGCAACGUGCCAUAUGUUAAGAAAUCAAUUUGGAUGCACCCAAUGGAACUUCUAGAUGACGUGUGUCAUAUGCAAUCUCGCUUCGGUCUGUUUGGAGACAAUGUUAGUUUUGGUGCAAGAUACGUGCAUAGUUUGUGCCUAAUGCACCAUAGUCUAAGAAACCAUUUUUGACACACCUGUUUGUACUCCUAGAUGAAGAGGCUCAAGUGGAAGCUCGGUUUGGUCUGUUUAGAGAUAGUGCUAAUCUUGAUGCAAGAUAGAUGCACGGUUUGCAUGGAACAUACGAUAUGCUCAGAAAUCAAUUAGGACGCACCUGAUAUAACUCCUUGAUGAUGUGUAUCAUAUGUAAUCUUGAUUCGGUAUGUUUAGAGAGAUUGUUAGUUCUGGUAGAAGAUAUAUGCACGGUUUACGCCAAAUGCACCAUAGGCUAAGAAACCAUUUUAUACGCUCCCGAUGGUACUCAUAGUUGAAGAGGCUCAAGUGGAGGCUCGAUUUGGUCUGUUCAGAUAUAGUGCUAAUCUUGGAUGCAAGAUAGUUGCACAGUUUGCAUGCAAUGUACCAUAUGUUAAGAAAUCAAUUUGGACGCACCCAAUGGAACUCCUAGAUGACGGGUGUCAUAUGGAAUCUCGCUUCGGUCUGUUUGGAGACAAUGUUAGUUUCGGUGCAGGAUAGGUGCACAGUUUGUGCCUAAUGCACCAUAGUCUAAGAAACCAUUUUUUACACACCUGUUUGUACUUCUAGAUGAAGAGGCUCAAGUGGAAGCUUGGUUUUGGUCUGUUUGGAGAUAGUGCUAAUCUUGAUGCAAGAUAGAUGCACGGUUUGCAUGGAACAUACGAUAUGCUCAGAAAUCAAUUAGGACGCACCUGAUAUAACUCCUUGAUGAUGUGUAUCAUAUGUAAUCUUGCUUCGGUUUGUUUAGAGAGAGUGUUAGUUUUGGUAGAAGAUAUAUGCACGGUUUACGCCAAAUGCACCAUAGGCUAAGAAACCAUUUUAGACGCACCCGAUGGUACUCAUAGUUGAAGAGGCUCAAGUGGAGGCUCGAUUUGGUCUGUUCGGAUAUAGUGCUAAUCUUGAUGCAAGAUAGUUGCACAGUUUGCAUGCAACGUACCGUAUGUUAUGAAAUCAAUUUGGACGCACCCAAUGGAACUCCUAGAUGACACGUGUCCUAUGGAAUCUCGCUUCGGUCCAUUUGGAGACAAUAUAAGUUUCGGUGCAAGAUAGGUGUAUAAUUUGUGCCUAAUGCACCAUAGUCUAAGAAACCAUUUUUGACGCACCUAUUUGUACUCCUAGAUGAAGAGGCUCAAGUGGAAGCUUGGUUCGGUCUGUUUGGAGAUAGUGCUAAUCUUGAUGCAAGAUAGGUGCACGGUUUGCAUGGAACAUACCAUAUGCUUGGAAACCAAUUUGGAUGCACCCGAUGGAACUCCUUGAUGACGUGUGUCAUAUGGAGUCUCAAUUUGGUCCAUUUGGAGAUAUUGUUAGUUUCAGUGCAAGAUAGGUGCACAGUUUGCACCUAAUGCACCAUAGUCUAAGAAACCAUUUUGGACGCACUUGUUGGUACUCCUAGGUGAAGGUGCUCAAGUGGAUGCUCGGUUCGGUCUGUCUGGGGAUAGUGCUAAUCUUAAUGCAAGAUAGGUGUACGGUUUGCAUGGAACAUAUAAAAUGCUUGGAAAUCAAUCUGGACGCACAUGGUGGAACUCCUAGAUGACGUGUGUCAUACGAAAUCUUGCUUCGGUCUGUUUGGAGACAGUGUUAGUUUUGGUGCAAGAUAGGUGCAAGGUUUGCACAUAAUGCAGCAUAGGCUAAGAAACCAUUUUGGACGCACCCGAUGGUACUCCUAGGUAAAAGGCUCAAGUGAAAGCUCGGUUUGGUCUAUUUGGAGAUAGUGCUAAUCUUGAUUCAAGAUAGAGGCACAGUCUGCAUGGAACAUACGAUAUGCUCAGGAAUCAAUUAGGACGCACCUGAUAUAACUCCUUGAUGAUGUGUGUCAUAUGGAAUCUUGCUUCGGUUCGUUUAGAGACAGUGUUAGUUUUGUUAGAAGAUAUGUGCACGGUUUACGACUAAUGCACCAUAGGCUAAGAAACCAUUUUAGACGCACCCGAUGGUACUCGUAGUUGAAGAGGCUUAAGUGGAGGCUCCAUUUGGUCUGUUCGGAUAUAGUGCUAAUCUUGAUGCAAGAUAGUUGCACAGUUUGCAUGCAACGUACCAUAUGUUAAGAAAUCAAUUUGGAUGCACCCAAUGGAACUCCUAGAUGACGUGUGUCAUAUGCAAUCUCGCUUCGGUCUGUUUGGAGACAAUGUUAGUUUCGGUGCAAGAUAGGUGCAUAGUUUGUGCCUAAUGCACCAUAGUCUAAGAAACCAUUUUUGACACACCUGUUUGUACUCCUAGAUGAAGAGGCUCUAGUGGAAGCUCGGUUUGGUCUGUUUGGAGAUAAUGCUAAUCUUGAUGCAAGAUAGAUGCACGGUUUGCAUGAAACAUACGAUAUGCUCAGAAAUCAAUUAGGAGACACCUGAUAUAACUCUUUGAUGAUGUGUAUCAUAUGUAAUCUUGCUUCGGAUUGUUUAGAGAGAGUGUUAGUUUUGGUAGAAGAUAUAUGCACGGUUUACGCCAAUGCACCAUAGGCUAAGAAACCAUUUUAGACGCACCCGAUGGUACUCAUAGUUGAAGAGGCUCUAGUGGAGGCUCGAUUUGGUCUGUUCGGGUAUAGUGCUAAUCUUGAUGCAAGAUAGUUGCACAGUUUGCAUGCAAUGUACCAUGUGUUAAGAAAUCAAUUUGGACGCACCGAAUGGAACUCCUAGAUGACGUGUGUCAUAUGGAAUCUCGCUUCGGUCUGUUUGGAGACAAUGUUAGUUUCAGUGCAAGAUAGGUGCAUAGUUUGUGCCUAAUGCACCAUAGUCUAAGAAACCAUUUUGACACACCUAUUUGUACUCCUAGAUGAAGAGGCUCAAGUGGAAGCUCGGUUUGGUCUGUUUGGAGAUAGUGCUAAUCUUGAUGCAAGAUAGAUGCACGGUUUGCAUGGAACAUACGAUAUGCUCAGAAAUCAACUAGGCGACACUGGACCAGCUAGUUGCGCCGUUUUCUGGGUUUCUUUUUUUUUUUUUUUUUUUGUUUUUNNNNNNNNNNNNNNNNNNNNNNNNNNNNNNNNNNNNNNNNNNNNNNNNNNNNNNNNNNNNNNNNNNNNNNNNNNNNNNNNNNNNNNNNNNNNNNNNNNNNACGCACCCGAUGGUACUCAUAGUUGAAGAGGCUCAAGUGGAGGCUCGAUUUGGUCUGUUCGGAUAUAGUGCUAAUCUUGAUGCAAGAUAGUUGCACAGUUUGCAUGCAACGUACCGUAUGUUAUGAAAUCAAUUUGGACGCACCCAAUGGAACUCCUAGAUGACACGUGUCCUAUGGAAUCUCGCUUCGGUCCAUUUGGAGACAAUAUAAGUUUCGGUGCAAGAUAGGUGUAUAAUUUGUGCCUAAUGCACCAUAGUCUAAGAAACCAUUUUUGACGCACCUAUUUGUACUCCUAGAUGAAGAGGCUCAAGUGGAAGCUUGGUUCGGUCUGUUUGGAGAUAGUGCUAAUCUUGAUGCAAGAUAGGUGCACGGUUUGCAUGGAACAUACCAUAUGCUUGGAAACCAAUUUGGAUGCACCCGAUGGAACUCCUUGAUGACGUGUGUCAUAUGGAGUCUCAAUUUGGUCCAUUUGGAGAUAUUGUUAGUUUCAGUGCAAGAUAGGUGCACAGUUUGCACCUAAUGCACCAUAGUCUAAGAAACCAUUUUGGACGCACUUGUUGGUACUCCUAGGUGAAGGUGCUCAAGUGGAUGCUCGGUUCGGUCUGUCUGGGGAUAGUGCUAAUCUUAAUGCAAGAUAGGUGUACGGUUUGCAUGGAACAUAUAAAAUGCUUGGAAAUCAAUCUGGACGCACAUGGUGGAACUCCUAGAUGACGUGUGUCAUACGAAAUCUUGCUUCGGUCUGUUUGGAGACAGUGUUAGUUUUGGUGCAAGAUAGGUGCAAGGUUUGCACAUAAUGCAGCAUAGGCUAAGAAACCAUUUUGGACGCACCCGAUGGUACUCCUAGGUAAAAGGCUCAAGUGAAAGCUCGGUUUGGUCUAUUUGGAGAUAGUGCUAAUCUUGAUUCAAGAUAGAGGCACAGUCUGCAUGGAACAUACGAUAUGCUCAGGAAUCAAUUAGGACGCACCUGAUAUAACUCCUUGAUGAUGUGUGUCAUAUGGAAUCUUGCUUCGGUUCGUUUAGAGACAGUGUUAGUUUUGUUAGAAGAUAUGUGCACGGUUUACGACUAAUGCACCAUAGGCUAAGAAACCAUUUUAGACGCACCCGAUGGUACUCGUAGUUGAAGAGGCUUAAGUGGAGGCUCCAUUUGGUCUGUUCGGAUAUAGUGCUAAUCUUGAUGCAAGAUAGUUGCACAGUUUGCAUGCAACGUACCAUAUGUUAAGAAAUCAAUUUGGAUGCACCCAAUGGAACUCCUAGAUGACGUGUGUCAUAUGCAAUCUCGCUUCGGUCUGUUUGGAGACAAUGUUAGUUUCGGUGCAAGAUAGGUGCAUAGUUUGUGCCUAAUGCACCAUAGUCUAAGAAACCAUUUUUGACACACCUGUUUGUACUCCUAGAUGNNNNNNNNNNNNNNNNNNNNNNNNNNNNNNNNNNNNNNNNNNNNNNNNNNNNNNNNNNNNNNNNNNNNNNNNNNNNNNNNNNNNNNNNNNNNNNNNNNNNNNNNNNNNNNNNNNNNNNNNNNNNNNNNNNNNNNNNNNNNNNNNNNNNNNNNNNNNNNNNNNNNNNNNNNNNNNNNNNNNNNNNNNNNNNNNNNNNNNNNNNNNNNNNNNNNNNNNNNNNNNNNNNNNNNNNNNNNNNNNNNNNNNNNNNNNNNNNNNNNNNNNNNNNNNNNNNNNNNNNNNNNNNNNNNNNNNNNNNNNNNNNNNNNNNNNNNNNNNNNNNNNNNNNNNNNNNNNNNNNNNNNNNNNNNNNNNNNNNNNNNNNNNNNNNNNNNNNNNNNNNNNNNNNNNNNNNNNNNNNNNNNNNNNNNNNNNNNNNNNNNNNNNNNNNNNNNNNNNNNNNNNNNNNNNNNNNNNNNNNNNNNNNNNNNNNNNNNNNNNNNNNNNNNNNNNNNNNNNNNNNNNNNNNNNNNNNNNNNNNNNNNNNNNNNNNNNNNNNNNNNNNNNNNNNNNNNNNNNNNNNNNNNNNNNNNNNNNNNNNNNNNNNNNNNNNNNNNNNNNNNNNNNNNNNNNNNNNNNNNNNNNNNNNNNNNNNNNNNNNNNNNNNNNNNNNNNNNNNNNNNNNNNNNNNNNNNNNNNNNNNNNNNNNNNNNNNNNNNNNNNNNNNNNNNNNNNNNNNNNNNNNNNNNNNNNNNNNNNNNNNNNNNNNNNNNNNNNNNNNNNNNNNNNNNNNNNNNNNNNNNNNNNNNNNNNNNNNNNNNNNNNNNNNNNNNNNNNNNNNNNNNNNNNNNNNNNNNNNNNNNNNNNNNNNNNNNNNNNNNNNNNNNNNNNNNNNNNNNNNNNNNNNNNNNNNNNNNNNNNNNNNNNNNNNNNNNNNNNNNNNNNNNNNNNNNNNNNNNNNNNNNNNNNNNNNNNNNNNNNNNNNNNNNNNNNNNNNNNNNNNNNNNNNNNNNNNNNNNNNNNNNNNNNNNNNNNNNNNNNNNNNNNNNNNNNNNNNNNNNNNNNNNNNNNNNNNNNNNNNNNNNNNNNNNNNNNNNNNNNNNNNNNNNNNNNNNNNNNNNNNNNNNNNNNNNNNNNNNNNNNNNNNNNNNNNNNNNNNNNNNNNNNNNNNNNNNNNNNNNNNNNNNNNNNNNNNNNNNNNNNNNNNNNNNNNNNNNNNNNNNNNNNNNNNNNNNGGUCUUAUACGGAUUGGUACUGCAAGUCUAAGAAACCGGUUGACCACCUAUUUGUACUCCUAGAUGAAGAGGGUCAAGUGGAAGCUCGGUUUGGUCUGUUUGGAGAUAGUGCUAAUCUUGAUGCAAGAUAGAUGCACGGUUUGCAUGGAACAUACGAUAUGCUCAGAAAUCAACUAGGACGCACCUGAUGUCACUCCUUGAUGAUGUGUAUCAUAUGUAAUCUUGCUUCGGUUUGUUUAGAGAGAGUGUUAGUUUUGGUAGAAGAUAUAUGCACGGUUUACGCCAAAUGCACCAUAGGCUAAGAAACCAUUUUAGACGCACCCGAUGGUACUCAUAGUUGAAGAGGCUCAAGUGGAGGCUCGAUUUGGUCUAUUCGGAUAUAGUGCUAAUCUUGAUGCAAGAUAGUUGCACAGUUUGCAUGCAACGUACCAUAUGUUAAGAAAUCAAUUUGGAUGCACCCAAUGGAACUCAUAGAUGACGUGUGUCAUAUGCAAUCUCGCUUCGGUCUGUUUGGAGACAAUGUUAGUUUCGGUGCAACAUACAUGCAUAGUUUGUGCCUAAUGCACCGUAGUCUAAGAAAUCAUUUUUGACACACCUGUUUGUACUCCUAGAUGAAGAGGCUCAAGUGGAAGCUCGGUUUGGUCUGUUUGGAGAUAGUGCUAAUCUUGAUGCAAGAUAGAUGCACGGUUUGCAUGGAACAUACGAUAUGCUCAUAAAUUAAAUAGGACACACCUGAUAUAACUCCUUGAUGAUUAUGCACGGUUUACGCCAAAUGCACCAUAGGCUAAGAAACUAUUUUAGACGCACCCGAUGGUACUCAUAGUUGAAGAGGCUCAAGUGGAGGCUCGAUUUGGUCUGUUCGGAUAUAGUGCUAAUCUUGAUGUAAGAUAGUUGCACAAUUUGCAUGCAACGUACCAUAUGUUAAGAAAUCAAUUUGGACGCACCCAAUGGAACUCUUAGAUGAUGUGUGUCAUAUGGAAUCUCGCUUCGGUCUGUUUGGAGAUAAUGUUAGUUUUGGUGCAAGAUACGUGCAUAGUUUGUGCCUAAUGCACCAUAGUCUAAGAAACCAUUUUUGACACACCUGUUUGUACUCCUAGAUGAAGAGGCUCAAGUGGAAGCUCGGUUUGGUCUGUUUGGAGAUAGUGCUAAUCUUGAUGCAAGAUAGAUCCACGGUUUGUAUGGAACAUACGAUAUGCUCAGAAAUCAAUUAGGACGCACCUGAUAUAACUCCUUGAUGAUGUGUAUCAUAUGUAAUCUUGCUUCGGUUUGUUUAGAGAGAGUGUUAGUUUUGGUAGAAGAUAUAUGCACGGUUUACGCCAAAUGCACCAUAGGCUAAGAAACCAUUUUAGACGUACCCGAUGGUACUCAUAGUUGAAGAGGCUCAAGUGGAGGCUCGACGUGGUCUGUUCGGAUAUAGUGCUAAUCUUGAUGCAAGAUAGUUGCACAGUUUGCAUGCAAUGUACCAUAUGUUAAGAAAUCAAUUUGGACGCACCCAAUGGAACUCCUAGAUGACAUGUGUCAUAUGGAAUCUCGCUUCGGUCUGUUUGGAGACUGUGGGGGUAUAAACCCCUAUACCCUGACGGCUAGACUUGGGCCGGGAGGCUUGGCCCAUCACGAAGACAGUCCGAGGCUUGAUCCAGCUGCUUGGAGUUUCAUGCAAGGAAACAAGACGUGGAGAUCAAGACGGAUUAUAGUCAGUUAGAAUAGGAAUUGAUAUUGUGCUAUCUAUGGCAAUUGUAACCAACUAGGAUUACUUUUCAGAUUGGUAACCCUGCCCUCCGGACUAUAUAAGGAGGGGCAAGGGACCCCCCUAGGACGCAUUAUCUCUCAACACAAUCCAAUACAAUCAGACACAGGACGUAGGUAUUACGCCCACACGGCAGCCGAACCUAGAUAAAAACCUUGUCUGUGUCUUGCGUCACCAUCAAGUUUGUAGCUUACGCACCGUCUACCAAUAAACUACUACCGUGGGUAUACCCUAAGGUAGACUACCGACUAGCUUUCGUCGACAGUGGCGCGCCAGGUAGGGGGUGUGCGUAUAGGUCUCUCGACGAACAAGAUGGUCAUCGUUCCAGCUUCCGCGGCCGUGCCUGAAGGCCACACGUUCACCGUCGGCCAGAUCACGUGGACGAGUCAUGGCGGCGGCCUCACGACCACGACUUCGGAAGAAACCCAGAUCCGAUCUGGGAUGACAGCGACGUCGAUUCCGAUCACGCCGACACCGAGCACUCGGCCUCCGCUCCCUCGUUACAGGGGAAAGAAGGUCGACGACUCGGAUCUUUUCCGAGCCCUUGAUCGCGCCGAUCUCAGGCUCCUCGAAGCUUCCCGACUGGUAGAUGGGAUCUCGCGCCGAUCUGAUCAAGUCGCGCCAACAGACUCUUUCGACUCCUGCCGACCAACUCGUGUCGUCACACACGAACAGCUGGGGAUGUCUCUGACAAUAACGUCCACCCCCACGGUGUGGUCCGUCGAGCUCAAGGCAGAUCCAGACCAGAUUUCUCCCUACGGACUAAACAACUCGGCCGAUCACUACUCACGGCACAUCCAAUCCCUUUUCAACAGGGCGGGCUGGUCGCCGAGACAGAACAGCCGAGCAGCUCGCCAUUACGUCAACAUGGUAUCAAUCCAAGUACUGCCGAACGAUCAGGCUUCCAGUACAAACUCCAGCACAGGGUCUAUCCCUACCGAGGUUAUAAACUCCGAGGACAAAGAUUACGACCUGGAUUUACCACCGUAUCCUCCGGGUUUUUCUCGCUUCCCAGUCUUUUCGCCUCGGCAGGGAGAUCUUAUCUUCAAUGUCAGCAACGAUGAACCGGUUGUCGAUGGAGAAACAGACGAGCUGAAGCAGCUCCGCGAACAGCGCAACACCGACCGCGCUCGGUGGCGCGCGGACAAGGAACGGCAACUUGCGCCGCAUAACCUCAGUGACGCUUUCGACAUGGUCGAAGAUCAGCAUGUCUACAAAACGCCAAGUGCUAACGUGGCUGUUGCUAUGGCAAACCUGGACCGACUCCCUGAUACUCCUGAGUGCCAGGGUGUCCGAUCCAGUAUACGCGCACACCUGAUCGCCGCGAUGGGACAGACAGCCACCUUACUCGAAAGGGUCCAAGCUAUCUCCUACACAGAGGUCUCUUCCGACCAAACUCAUCGCAGCCGGACUUCACCUCAACCCAGCGAGCGCCACCGUAACCAAACUCAUCGCAGCCGGACUUCACCUCAACCCAGUGAGCGCCACCGUAGCCGCUCUCCCAACAACCGCAGGAAGGAUGUGGGGCGCGACAACCGUGGUUGGGACACCGGCGGCUACCACGAGCAGAAGCGUGGGCGUGGUGAGGAAGUAAACCAGCACAGGGAUCUAUGAUACAACAUCCCUCCCAAGGACGCCCGGGACCGCAUCAACAGGCGCGCCAUGGAAAGAGUGGUGCACGAGAACUUGCGGCGCAUUGAGUACGAUGCCGCGCACGGCCCUCCCGGCCUAUGGCAGUUUUCUUCACACCUUCACCAAGUCAUAUGGUCCCGCAACUUUAAACUCGAGAAGCUUAAAAAAUAUGACGUCAAGGAAAACCUAGAAAACUGGAUCACUCUCUACGAGAUUGCAGUUCGGUCAGCAGCAGGAGACGAGCACAUCAUGGUAAAUUACUUCCCAGUUGUCCUCGACCAAGCUGGUCAUCAGUGGCUCCUCAGUCUGCCCGAGGACUCUUUCGACUCUUGGGAAGAACUGCGCCAGGCGUUUAUCGACAAUUUCAUCGCUACCUGCGAGCAACCUGGGAACAAGUACGACCUCGAGAGAAUAAGAGACAGGAAAAACGAGCCUCUGCGUGAUUACAUCCGACGAUUCUCGGAUAUGCGUCUUAAAAUUCCGAAAAUUUCUCACGACGAGGCUAUAUCAGCUUUCAUUAAAGGGCUACGCUUCCACGAAGCACUAAGGAACAAGCUACUGCGCAAAAGGCCGACCACGAUGGCUGAGCUCCUCGCCACGGCAAAAAACUACGCUGACGCCGACGACGCAGAAAAGCUCAUCCGAGAGGACGCGAGAGGCCCCGACCAGCCUCCUCGAUGAGACGACAGUCGCGGACGCUUUGACAACAGGAACCAUCGUCGCACUGACAACCGCGACCAUAGAGAAGGUUGGGACAUGCGGCGUGACAACCGCGAUGACUUCAGAGGCAAGCGCCCUCGCGACCAUGACCAUGAGGUGAACGCGGUCAAGCGCCCUAAUGGGCGGCGAGACUACCAGGAAGAUUACAACAAGACGUUGAAAGGACCGUGCCAACUCCAUCCCAAGUCCAAUCAUACGUUGGAAGAAUCCCGUGUCCUAAAAAGUAUCUACACACAGCGGGCCGCUCAAGACGAUUCCGCCAAGAAAAACGGGAAGCAGGACAGACGUGGUCACGAAGACGAAGACGACGACCAGGAUAGGGACCCACGACACCAGUACGUCAGUCCCACCGACGUGGUCCACUCCAUCUUCGGAGGCAAAGUUUCCAUCGAAUCCAAGCGAGAAAGAAAGCUCCUGAAGAGAGCCUGCCUCAACGUGGACAGCGCAGACAGUCUGGUCGCCAACCCAAAAUUUCCUCCCUGGUCGCACAGGGAGAUCCCCUUCAACAGGAAGGACCAAUGAGCCACCAUCCUGGAGCCAGGACGUUUCCCUCUGAUCCUGGAUCCUUGCAUCAAUACCGUCAGAUUUGAGCGCGUGCUUGUUGACGGGGGCAGCUCCAUUGACAUCCUAUUCCGCAACAGCCUGCCCGCUCUCAAGAUAACCCUGGCGCAACUGAAACCGUAUGACACACAAUUCUGGGGAGUCCUACCAGGUCAGAGUUCAGUACCCCUCGGACAGAUAACACUGCCUGUCCAGUUCGGAACGCCCGACCACUUUUGAACAGAGUUCAUCAACUUUGUAGUCGCCGACUUUGAUGGCACUUACCAUGCAAUUCUGGGCCGACCAUCACUAACAAAGUUCAUGGCAGUUCCGCACUACUCAUACCUGGUCCUCAAGAUGCCAACAGAAAAGGGCGUCCUAACCGUCAGAGGCAAUAUCUACACCGCAUACACCUGUGAGGAGGAAAGCUUCAGGGUCACUGAGGCAAUCGACCUCUCGAUCCGCAUGGCAGAAACCGUAGCCCAAGCUAUGCAGUUUCCACGCGACCAGCUUCAACUACCUGAGCAGAAGACUCCGAGGAAACAUUCAAAGUCCAAAGAGCACAAGGAAGUACAGCUGGUCGACGGCAGCCCCGAGAAGACAGCCCUCAUCGGGGCCAAUGUGGACCCUAAAUAGGAAGACGCGCUCGUCAGGUUUCUAAGGGACAACGUAAGCGUUUACGUAUGGAAACCCGCAGACAUGCCCGGCAUCCCACGAAACCAGAUCGAGCACUCCUUAAACGUCUCGAAGACCGCAAGACCUAUCAAGCAGAAGCUAUGACGGUUCGCUCGUGACAAAAAGGAGGCUAUUAGGACAGAAAUAACACGGCUUCUAGCAGCCGAAUUCAUUAAAGAAGUGUAUCAUCCCGAUUGGCUCGCUAAUCCGGUCCUUGUAAAAAAAAGAACAAUGAAUGGAGAAUGUGCGUUGAUUACACUGAUCUUAAUAAACACUGUCCUAAAGAUCCUUUUGGUCUUCCUCGCAUCGACGAGGUGGUCGAGUCAACGGCCGGAUGCGAACUCCUCUCCUUUCUAGAUUGUUACUCUGGUUAUCACCAGAUCUCACUAGAGGAAGAUGACCAGAUCAAAACAUCUUUUAUCACCCCUUUCGGUGCGUAUUGCUACACGACCAUGUCCUUCGGUCUCAAAAAUGCUAGAGCUACUUAUUAACGGGCCAUUCAGCAAUGCCUCCACGACGAGAUUCGUGACGACCUCGUCGAGGCUUACGUAGACGAUGUUGUCGUCAAAAAAAGGGACGCGAGUACUCUAAUUGACAACCUAGAUCGAACCUUUAAGGCACUAAAUAAAUACAAGUGGAAGCUUAACCCCAAAAAGUGUAUCUUUGGGGUCCCCUCUGGACUACUACUCGGCAACGUCAUCAGCCGCGACGGCAUACGACCGAAUCCCUCAAAAGUAAAGGCAGUGCUCGACAUGCGACCACCUAAGAACGUCAAGGAUAUUCAAAAGCUCACCGGUUGUAUGGCUGCUCUCAGCCGUUUUAUCUCUAGACUGAGAGAAAAAGGCCUCCCCUUCUUCAAACUCCUAAAGGCAUCGGAAAAAUUCUUUUGGACAGAGGAAGCUGACGUUGCGUUCACCCUGCUCAAAACUUUCCUCACCUCACCACCCGUUCUCACAGCACCUCAACCCAACGAGGACCUGCGCCUUUACAUAGCAGCAACCGAUAGGGUUGUCUCCACAGCAAUGGUGGUCGAGCGGGACGAGCCAGGCCACGUGUACAAAGUCCAGAGACCAGUUUACUUCAUAAGCGAAGUCUUAAAUGAGUCCAAGACCAGGUACCCUCAGAUACAAAAGCUCAUCUACGCCAUCUUAAUAACUUCAAGGAAACUGAAGCAUUACUUCGAUGGUCAUCGGGUCUUGGUAACCACUAGUUUCCCUCUGGGGGACAUUUUGCGCAACAAGGACGCCAACGACAGAAUUGUAAAAUGGGCAAUGGAAUUAUGCCCAUUCUCCCUAGAUUUCCAGAGACGCACUACCGUCGAGUCCCAGGCCCUGGUCGAUUUCAUCGCAGAAUGGACGGACCUCAAUGAGCCCCCCCCCCCCGUCGGACACCUCCGACCACUGGUCAAACUACGUUACGUCCUUAGGACAAACUAACAAGGACAAACUACGUUACGUCCUUAGGAUCCUCUUUUCGGCAUCGAACAACGUCGCCGAAUACGAAGCAUGCCAACACGGCAUACGACUGGCCGUCGAACUGGGAGUCAAACGCCUCCACGUCCAUGGUGACUCUGCCCUGGUCAUCAACCAGCUCAACAAGGAAUGGGACGCAACCCACGAAAAGAUGGACCUCUACUGCAAAGAAAUUCGGAAAUGGGAAUCCAAUUUCUACGGCAUAGAAUACAUCCACGUGGUCUGGGAUAGGAACCAGGCAGCCGAUGUCUUGUCAAAGAUAGGGUCAUCUCGGGCCCAGAUUCCGCAAGGCGUUUUCGUUCAAGACAUCCACGCGCCAAGCGUCGGAACAGACCUGGUCGAAAAGCAACCCAAUGAGGCAAUGCUCAUAGAUGAUACCAAUCCGACAAUCGGCAGCCACGAUUGGCGUACUCCCUUCAUUAAGUAUAUAUCGGAUGCAUCGGGCUUUCAAGAUAAAACGGAGAAUGAGCGCCUCAUCCGACGGUCCAAGAUUUACAUACUGGUUGAUGGUAAACUUAUGCGAAAGAAUGCAAGCUCCGAAGUGUUGCUCAAAUGCAUAUCCCAAGGUGAUGGCGUCAAGCUCUUAGACGACAUACACGCCGGGUCCUGAGGCAACCACGCUGCCUCCAGAACACUGGUCAGGAAGGCCUUCCGAGCAGGUUUUUACUGGCCAACCGCGGUCGUCGACGCCGAGAAACUGGUCUGACACUGUGAAGGAUGCCAGUUCCUCGCCACGAGGACCAACGUGCCUGCUCACGAGAUCCAAACUAUUCCGUCGUUCGGGCCUUUCGCCUGUUGGGGUCUUGACAUGAUCGGGCCAUUUAAGCCGGCCCCCGGCAACUUCAAGUUCGUCUUUGUACUAAUCGAAAAAUUCUCGAAGUGGAUCGAGUACAUGCCACUGGUCAAAGCAACCUCCAAGAAGGCUGUGGAGUUCCUCAAUCAAACUAUACAUAGAUUUGGGAUCCCCAAUAGCAUAAUCACUGACCUGGGCACUCAGUUCACUGGCACUACAUUUUGGGACUUCUGUGAUGAUAGGGGCAUAGUCAUAAAGUACGUGUCGGUAGCUCACCCACGCGCCAACGGUCAAGUAGAGCGAGCGAAUGGAAUGAUUAUCGAUGCUCUAAAGAAAAGGCUGUACACCAAGAACGACAGAGCACUAGGAUGAUGGAUGGAGGAGCUACCGGCUGUUGUCUGGGGUCUCCGAACACAGGCUAGUCGCAACACGGGUGUAUCACCCUACUUCAUGGUUUACGGCACCGAAGCAGUGCUUCCGGCCGAUGUGACCUUUGGAUCUCCAAGAGUUGAAAAUUUCGACCAGUCUUCGGCUGACCUCUCCAGAGAGCUUGAAAUCAACUGCACAGAAGAAAAGUGCCUAAUCUCAUGCCUUCGAAUAGCAAAGUAUCUCGAAGCCAUUAGGCGGUAUCACAAUAGGAACGUCAAAGACCGUUCCUUCGUGGUCGGUGAUCUGGUACUCAAGUGGAAAACAAGCCAAAAAGGAACGCACAAGUAAUCCACACCUUGGGAAGGACCCUUUGUGGUCAUCGAAGUCACACGCCCUACAUCUUACAGACUGGCGUACCCAGAUAGAACAUGCCUGCCUAACUCUUGGCACAUAGACAAACUGCGUCGUUUUUAUCCAUAAGUUCCAUUACACCUCGUUUGUAAAACUCUUACGAUCAGCAGUAAUAAAUUUUUUCUUCCUUGCUUUAUACCUCUUUUAUAUGCAGAACUCUCGACAAGUGCAACAAUCUGCUUUUAGGACGAAGGUCCUUACGGGUUACUAACCAACUCAGUGAUACAUCACUCGGACAACAUUACAACGCUCAAAAACCAUUGUUACAAUAAAUUAAUCUUUAUUACAAACUUUAGGUACAAAGUUUACAAUAAACACCCCUCCGGGUGGUCCCUAGUCUACUCCUACAGACUACUCUACCGGCCUACUGCUCGGGCUGAUCACCCGCACGUCCUUGCCGCCCAAUCGAAGGGGUCGGGGCCACCGGCGUCUGGCUGGUCGAGACCGCAGGAGUCGACCGCCCAUCUCCGGCAAUGGACGGGGGGAGUUGCUGUCCCGCAGAGGUUGAUGUCGCCGAUUGUUGGGUAUUUUAAACGCAAACAGAAAAAUCCGCAAGCGCACGGAUACCGAUGUAGCUUUCACCCGGGAGUAUUCCAGAGUAUCGAUUUUCCACAGAGAACGUGAGUGUACUAAUUAAGAUCCAAGAUCGCCCAAGGAUAACUAUAUAAUUAUUUUUGGUGGGAAGAGAGGAAGUUUCCUGAGAGUUUUUUAGUUGAUCUAAGAAUCAAGAAUUACUUCAAGAUUAUCUAUAUCGGGACAUCAGAGCACUAACCACAGAAAGAAAUGAGAAGGGGGUUAGGAAGGUCUGACUACGGUCCUACAAACACCGAUCCGAACGUGGUGGAAUACGUCGACCGUUAGGGCUGUCACUACCCUAGGGCUACCACAACAAUCCGUAGGAUUGGGUGCAAUUCCAGGUAAUCGCAAGACUAAACACCACGUCUAAUCUAUUAAUUACUACUCUAGCGUUAUAAAGACUAGAGCACUUGAUGCAAGCGGGAAUCCAAUAAAUAACUUGAAUGUAAAUAAAAGUAAUUAGAGAACUUAGGAGUUAUGAAUUGAAGAACCUGGAGAACGAUGAAGAACGAACCAGUUGCUGCAAAAGUACAAUGUUGAGGAAGAUCCGACAGAUCCGGCUCCUCCUCCUCCGAUCUCCUCUUCUCUCUCCCUAUUUUCUAGAUUACAACUAGAACUAACUAGAACUAGUACUAGAGGAACUAGAACUAGAACUAGAUGAACUAGAACUAGAUCUAGAAGAACUAGAGGUAGAACUAGAAGAACUAGAGGGAUCCUCUCUACUUGGAUGAAGAAUUGAAACCCUAACUUUGAUUCUGUAGAAGAGGUAUGAUGUCCAGGGGCUAGGGGGGUCUGGUUUUAUAGUCCCUUCAAGUGAAUCUGGGCCGUCGGAUCAAACCGACAUUGAUCGUGUGGUUUUUCCUUGAAGUAUUAGGUCGGUGGAGCAUGAUCCCCGAACUUCACCCUGAUUGGUCCAGGGGGAGGGCGGGCGCCCUCAGGACUAGGGCGGGCGCCCUGUCCCUGAGGCCUCUCGUCUUCCACUUUGUUCCCGUGGCUUCUGGAGUCUUCUAGAUGAUAGAAAAUUGCGCGGCACGUUAAUAUCUCUAUGUAAACCCGACGUGUGGGCCUUUCUUCCUUAUUUCCUGAUAAGCGCCUGUAGAAAUAGACAAACACCAAAACUUGUGGAAUUCUGUCAGAUAAAACCCUAAGUCUAGGUGUUGGUUGCAUUUGGAUCCUUUUCCAUGAUUAGUUGACGGUUAAAUGUGAGCAUUAAGGACCGUCAACAAGCUCCCCCAAGCUUAACCUUUGCUCGUCCCUGAGCAAAGCUAAAAUCAUCAAGAAAACAGGGGUUACUUUUAUGCCUUUUACUAAAGGGGUUUUAAGUUAUCACUAAGGUCUUAAGUGAUUGAAAAACAGAAUGAUCAAGUCAAGCACUAUGUCUCAAGUUCUUCUGUCUUACCUUUGUUCUGGAGUUGUUUAUAAGUUUCCAAAAUAAAUCUGAGGCAUUUGCCUUCUUCUCGAAAGAUAUAUAAGUAGAGCUUUAAAAAUUUUAGCAUACUUACUUUGCAUUUUGCUAUGUCAAUGCUCGGAGCAAGGGAGAGGAAUGUCAUACUCCUAGAUCAAGACCUUUGACCUUUUUGAAGAGUUUGUCAUCUCUUACUGGCAUAUUGCUUAUUAGAGGGACCAUGGGCUAUCAUUUUUUUUUCUCUUUUUUUUUCUCUUUUUUUUUUAGUCUCUUUUUUUUCAAGUGGGCAGCAAGUACCCCUAAUUCUACUGUCGGACACAUGUCCAUUUUUUUCCACUCAGGUGGGUAUCUUUGUACCCCUAAUUCUACUUUGGACACUUGUCCAUUUUUACCUCUCAUCUCACUCUUUUUUUUCGAAUCAAAUUUUUGCAUAGUCCCAUGCCUCUAACGCAAUAAUACUUCGGAAGAGUGAAUCUUUUAUAUUUUUAAAACAAAAAGAUCUUGAUCUUGGGAGCAUGAUAAUUCUCUCAACCAAAACUACAAGAAUUAACAAUGGCUUGAACAAAGAAAGUACCCACAGUUUUAAUAUUUAUUUCAUAUAAGACUCUAGAUAUUAUGAUCUCAUAUAUUUUUUUUAUGAAUUUUUAGAUUUUCAAAAGAUAAAAUCUCCAGAACUCUAGCAAAACUUGGAACAAGUUAAAUAGUAGCUCAGACCUUCUCAUAUCAUGUUUGUCAAUUACCUAGACUUGAAUCAAACUUUCUUUUUAUUUUAUUUAAAACUUAGUAUUACAUAAAACUAUUAUAUAUUACUCAAAGCAAAAACUGUGUUUGGUUUCAUGGUUAUGUAUUUUUUUUAUUUCCGAAUACUAGUAAAUAAAACUAAGAAAGAAAAAUAAUACUUAUCUUGAUUUUUUUUAUUUAGCAAACUAAGCAAAGAUAUAUAUAUAAGCAUAAAAUCUUUAUUUGGGUUUUUAUGAUUAUGCAUCUUUUUAUUAUUUGAGUAAAGUAUAAACGUGAGUAGAACACUUAGCUGGAUAAAUGGGGGUGCUCUCCCCCAAGCUGGAUUUUGACAUAAUUUCUUCUGAUGUAGCUAGCAGGUGGCGGAGGUGUAUUUGAAUGUCGGUAGCACUCUGACAGCGAUUAGAAUGUCCUUCCUCUGCUAGUCUUCUUUGAUCCUUGAAUUCUGUGGAGCUCAAAUAGACAACAAAGCUUUGUGGAACUAGUUAAGUGUUAGCAUAAAUAUCUAGCCUUUAUCAUGUUGAGCCUCCUCAAUAAAUGUUACUCAUUAGUAGGAUCAUAAUUUUAUUUUUAUAGGACAGGAAUAUAUUUAUUUUAUUUUUAUGCCACCACAGUGAAUGUACUUAUGGGUUUUAUGCCAUGAGCAUACUCACAUGGGGCUUACUAUUUUUAACAUUUUUAUUUUCUUUUUAAGAUGAUAUGAACCUGAUUAACUAAGCAAACUAUUUUAAAUAAUUGAAAGGGAAAAAGGAUAACUACCAAGUUUAACUCUUACCAAGGCGUUCGGUGUUUUUAAGUCCUCCGAACGAGACUCUCCAUUUUCUCAGUUGUCCUGGGAUUCGCUGGAUGGCGUAGUCGGUGGUUCCGGCGGUGCUUCCUCUUCGUGUAUAACUAUCUUCUCUCUCCACACCUGACUUGGUGCUACGGUCUCUUCAGAACAGUUCUGUUCAAGUUGUAUGUCUUCAGACCUUACAACUUCUCCUUCAUAGUCUACCCAUCCGUCCUUGAUGAUUUGCCUCCUCUGGUUGCGGUUGCGUCGUCUUCUUCUUGUCCUGACCUGCUUAGAGUCUUUAACUAUAUAGUUAGAGUCAGUAAAAUAGCGGCGUACCUUCUCAGAGGGGAAAUGCAUGUGGACUUCUCUGGUUCCAAUGUAGAUGAUUGCUUUAACGGUGUUGAGGAACAGUCUUCCAAGGAUGACGGGUGCAUUGUACUCGUAUUCUCCCAUGACAAUAACCUUAAAAUCAUCUGGAGCUGAAUGUAUGUCGGUUUUAGGGGCAUGGUUCCGAACAGGAGCUGAUAAGUGACUACGGCCAUUAUGUUGACGUCAGAUCCGGUGUCGUAGAGUGUCUUCUGAAAAGAAUAUCCGUUGAUUGUGCACUCGAUGCUUGGGCACCAGGGACGUCCUUCUUGAUCAAGAAAGGUGACUUGAGUUGACGAUCUUGACCUUCUUGAGCUGCAGUGACCAUCUUAGCUAACUCGGUAUAAAUUUGCUUGUUCUUGUUCCUCCUGUUGGUCCUCUUCCUUGUUUCAUGUCGGGAUUGCUCUGGGAUUUGUGUAGUCUUGUUUCUUGAAGGAAAACGUCUCCUUCUUCCCCUUGAUGUAGAAACUGAUCUUGGCAGCACUAGCGUAGAUGACAGCUCCCGAGGUGUUCAGGAAUGGCCUCCCUAGGAUGGGUGCC